AUCCCUUGUGGUUCAUAGCUUGAUGAUUAGGUUUUCACGCUAUUGUGUGAGAUGUGCCUCCCUCAAAUCUUGUUACAAUGUCAGCACUUUACUCCUUUGAUG